UUCGCCCUUUUACCGGUGCGGGCCGUGAGAGCGGGAGCCCGGAGAUGGGCACUGAGACAAGGGCCCAGGCCCUACGGGGCGCAGCAGUCGCGAAACCUUUGCAAUACACGAAAGUGAGACAAGGCUAUCCCGAGUGCCAUCCGCUGAGGAAGGCUUUUACCCAGUAUAAAUAGCUGGGAGAAUAAGGAGAGGGCAAGUCUGGUGUCAGCCGCCGCGGUAAUACCAGCUCUCCGAGUAGUGUGGAUGUUUAUUGGGCCUAAAGCAUCCGUAGCUUGCUAAGCAAGUCCCCUGUUAAAUCCACCGAUUCAAUCGUUGGAUUGCGGGGGAUACUGUUUGGCUAGGGGACGGGAGAGGUCGACGGUAUUUCCGGGGUAGGGGUGAAAUCCUAUAAUCCCGGGAGGACCACCAGUGGCGAAGGCUGUCGACUAGAACGCGCCCGACGG
rnacentral:rRNA from 1 species